rnacentral:rRNA from 1 species
ACCCGCUGAAUUUAAGCAUAUAAGUAAGCGGAGGAAAUUAAACCAAAUGGGAUUCCCUAAGUAAUUGCGAAUGAACAGGGAUUUGCUCAGCAUGAAAAUUGGGGCCUUCGGCUUCGAAAUGUAAUUUCAAAAUGUAUUGCUAACGGAAGUGCAGAUGCAAGCCUUUUGGAAGAAAUGCAUGAUUCAGGGUGAGAUUCCUGUUUGUCAUCUGCAAUCUUCUGUGUACGGCGUAUGUUUCAAGAGUCACGCUCCUUGGGAUUGGAGUGCAAAGUGUGUGGUAAAUUUCAUGUAAAGGUGAAUAUAUUUUUGAGUCCGAUAGCUAACAAGUACCAUGAGGGAAAUAUGAAAAGGACUUUGGAAAGAGAAUUAAAAAAGCCUGAAUUUGCUGAACAGAAAGUAAACAGAACUUGUUUCCUUGGUGAGAUUGUUGUGUGUUAGUGACAUAGGUCACCAUGCACGCAGUGGUUCUUGCCAUGUGUGUCAGCUCCAUUUUGCAAAUCAAUAAUUGUUCUAAUGUGUGGUAAUCUGCCUGUGGGUGUGUGACUGCUUUUCCUUGCGAUUAUUUGUAAAAUGGAAUGUUGUGUCUGGUGAUCUUGUGGCUGUUACCUUGACAUGUGUGCUGCAAGUGUGCACCUUCUGGAACAACCCACAAUCCCUGAUGCACUGGUGCUGGCAAUGCUGUUCUGCUUGACCCGUCUUGAAACACGGACCAAGGAGUCUAACAGAUGUGCGAGUUCAUGGGUGGUAAACCUUUUUGCGCAAUGAAGGUAAUUGCUGGGAUAUUUGCACCAGCAGCCAACCAAUCAAUUGUGAGAGGUUUGAGUUUGAGCUUACCUGUUAGGACCCGAAAGAUGGUGAACUAUGCCUGAGAAGGGUAAAUUCAGGGGAAACUCUGAUGGAGGCUCGUAGCGAUACUGACGUGCAAAUCGUUCGUCAUACUUGGGUAUAGGGGCGAAAGACUAAUCGAACCAUCUAGUAGCUGGUUCCCUCCGAA